GUUUAUGUCGCCAGGAGCAAGCACAGGAUGAACCCCCCCUUCUUUAUUCACUAAAUUGCACAAACUGAGGCCCUAAUCAAGACAAUUACUCCUGCAUGUUGGUAGAUUCUUGAUCUUCUAGGUCCAUUAAAGCAUAAGGAAUUAAGGAGGAACUCUCAAGCCAUUCCGAGUCUCAAAUGAAGAACGAUAAAGGAAUUAAGGAGGAAAGCUCAAGCCGUUCCGAGUCUCAAACGAAGAACGAUAAAGUAGCAUACUAUUGUUCAAUGGUUGAAGUUGUUUACUUGUAA
rnacentral:lncRNA from 1 species